AGAGUUUGAUUAUGGCUCAGGACGAACGCUGGCGGCGUGCUUCAUACAUGCAAGUCGAGCGUGAACCCGGGGCUUGCCCUGGGGGAAAGCGGCGAACGGGUGAGUAACACGUGGGCAACCAACCCCAGCCUCUGGGAUAACCUCGGGAAACCGGGGCUAAUACCGGAUACUCUCGACGGGUCAUAUGGCCCGACGAGGAAAGCUCCGGCGGACUGGGACGGGCCCGCGGCCUAUCAGCUUGUUGGCGGGGUAAUGGCCCACCAAGGCGACGACGGGUAGCUGGCGUGAGAGCGUGACCAGCCACACUGGGACUGAGACACGGCCCAGACUCCUACGGGAGGCAGCAGUAGGGAAUCUUGCGCAAUGGGCGAAAGCCUGACGCAGCGACGCCGCGUGGGGGAUGAAGGCUCUUGGGUCGUAAACCCCUUUCGGCAGGGAAGAAGCGAAAGUGACGGUACCUGCAGAAGAAGCCCCGGCCAACUACGUGCCAGCAGCCGCGGUAACACGUAGGGGGCGAGCGUUGUCCGGAUUUAUUGGGCGUAAAGAGCGCGUAGGCGGCUCGGAAAGUCGGUUGUGAAAACUCGAGGCUCAACCUCGAGCUUGCAUCCGAUACUGCCGGGCUUGAGGCAGGUAGGGGAGAUCGGAAUUCCUGGUGUAGCGGUGAAAUGCGCAGAUAUCAGAGGAACACCGGUGGCGAAAGCGGAUCUCUGGGCCUGUCCUGACGCUGAGGCGCGAAAGCUAGGGGAGCGAACAGGAUUAGAUACCCUGGUAGUCCUAGUCGUAACGAUGGGUGCUAGGUGUGGGGCGGCGAUUGACUCGCCCUGUGCCGGAGCUAACGCAUUAGCACCCGCUGGGAGUACGCGCAUGCUAAACUCAAUGAAUUGACGGGG
rnacentral:rRNA from 1 species